CGGUAGGUUCGAGUAUAUGACACCAUUUUAAAUAUUUCUGAGAAAAAGAGGAAAACGUUAACACUAAGGAGAUCUAUUUAACAGAAUAGAAUAUUUCAUAGAAACAUGUGCAUUAUCAUCAGUAGUAUGCUUUUCAGUGCCAAGGGCAAAACGUUUCACAAUAUACACGCGUCAGGAUCGAGAAUGAGGAUCGGCCACGUAGCUGCUGUGAUCUCUGCUUUGUUUGAACUGCAGAGAAUACAAGGUCAAAUAUUCAGAAAACCAGAGGCAUGCUACUUGCCAGCAGAUUAUGGCACCUGCAAAAUGAAUAUUACACGAUUUUACUACAGCCUCAGAGCUGGUGCCUGCAAACGUUUUAUCUAUAGCGGGUGUAGAGGAAAUGGAAACAAUUUCGCGUCAUUGCAACUCUGCAUGAUUCGAUGCGCAAAAUACAAUCCUGAAAAGGACUUGUGCGUACGGCCGCCGUGGAACACUAUUUGUCCAGUUGGGAAUGACUAUUAUUGGAUGUGGUUCUACAACACCCAUACAUCUACUUGUCAGCGUUUUCAAUACGGGUCUUGCGCUGCUCGCCUCAAUGUUUUCCCUACAUGUGAACAAUGCAAAGAGAGGUGCCAGCACCACAUGGCCAAGCUGCAAGUGUGCCCAGAAUAGUUCACUACUUUUGGCGUCUUCACAGAGGCGCAUGGAUGAGCACAAAAAUAAAACCAAGAACAGA